rnacentral:piRNA from 1 species
UUAAUGAAAUGGGCUGUGAAAUGUGUGCA